GCUAAAAACACAUGAUUUCGAAUCAGAAUUGAACGAAAACCACGGAAAUCAAGUUUAUUUUUCCAAUGAUCUUAUAGUUUUUUAAAUAAACGUAAAAAACCAAGUUGUUGCGCUUAUAGCACUUUAUUUACGUUUAUUUAAAAAAUGGCUGGUUCAACAAGAAAUCUAUUAACUUAAUCGAAAUAAGCGUUCAAUUUUGAUUGUACUGCGUGAUUUGUUUUUCCUCAACGUCUUCGGGAACUUCGUGAACACUGGGAGCCGUUGAGUUAUUAAACGCUGGCGCUCAUCAACACCGGAGCGUUCUGGCGAUUUGUCUAGCGGGGAAGCCAUCUAUGGAGCUUUAGUAUACUUCAAGCUUAUAUCAACUUUCAGAGACAUCUAGGGGACAAAUCAUUGGCUGAUUAUCAAGGACAUGGUACUGACAGCUGAUUCAUUUGGCAUGGCGUCGUCGACGAGAAUGGCUUUUCCUGUUUCCAGGAUGCACAUAAUAUGCUGUGUUGGCCCAUUAGAUCCAUCCAUGACAAAAGGAAUGUCACAUAAAUUUCAUGUGGAAGGUGGAACAAAAAAAUGGUUUCAAUGUAAAUAAAAUAUAUCCAAUAUGA